AUGCCCCUACUUGUGAAGCCCAAGAAGGGACCCUUUGAUGUGAAAGAGGAUCCUGGUCAAGUAACGGAUGCAGAAACCAGUGUGGGAAUAGGAGGAGUCUCCAGAAACAGGAAAAGGCAUUGUCCCAAGGAGGGGUCAUGUCAUCCUUCUCUGUCGUCAUUCGGGUUGUCUGGUUUAUUUCCUCCCCUAGGUUGGUGUGAAUUGCAAGGAGAGUCCUUUGUGAAUGCGGUCAAGAACAAGACUGCCCAUUUUGUGAGGUGGUUAGGGCUGAACUUUCAGAUUUCAGAUUUUAUUAAAAGUGACCAAGAAAGAAAAUUAAUUUGGGCUUCAUCUAAGCCAUGCCAAAGCAACUGGUUAGGAACUGAUGUGGGUGGAGAGCGGCUAAAGAUAAAUGCCAGAGGACUUGUAUCCCAGCUGAAGGACAGUAUUCCAGUUACUGAACUUUCAGCAAGUGGACCUUUUGAAAGUCAUGAUCUUCUUCGGAAAGGUUUGUCUUGUGUGAAAAAUGAAACUUUGCCUGGUCAUCCUCUUGAAUUAUCAGAAAAAAAUUUCCAACUCAACCAAGAUGAAAUUUUCCACACUGAGAAACAUUCAGGGUCUAUUGACUCCCACUGAAAUUACACACGGAAUUCAAGGCAGUGCAGAAGGUACAACGUCUCCCAUUUCUUUCAAGCUCAAACCUUUCACUGGAUAUUCUGAGGGCUAAUGAUGAGACGAUUGAAUUUGAAGAUAUUCUUAAUGAUCUGUCACAAGGUGAAGUAAUGGGAGUACCACAUUUGAUGGUGAAAUAUAAACUUUUCU